rnacentral:rRNA from 1 species
AUGCCCCAUUCCGAAAGCGCUCAGCGCCCGAGAUGGUUGCGGCGAUAGGUGUGGUGGGUACGGCCCACCAAGCCAAGAUCCGUACGCUGUGRGAGCAGGAGCCGGAGAUGACCUGAGACAGGUCAGCCUACGGGCGCAGCAGCGCGAACUCCGCAAUGCGGGAACCGCGACGGGUAGCGGAGUGCCGYGCAUCGCRCGGRCUGUCGGGUGCUAAACAGCACCCAUAGCAAGGGCCGGGCAAGCCGGUGGCAGCGCCGCGGUAAKACCGGCGGCCGAGUGGCGGCACUCUUAUUGGGCCUAAAGCGUCCGUAGCCGGYCYRGUAAGUCCCCCGGGAAAUCUGGYSGCUUAACSRUCAGACUKCCGGGGGAUACUGCYRGRCUAGGGACCGGGAGAGGCCGAGGGUAUUCCCGGGGUAGGGGUGAAAUCCUGUAAUCCCGGGAGGACCACUGUGGCGAAGGCGCUCGGCUGGAACGGGUCCGACGGUGAGGGACGAAGGCCUGGGGAGCGAACCGGAUUAGAUACCCGGGUAGUCCAGGCUGUAAACGAUGCGGGCUAGGUGUCACCGGAGCUACGAGCUCCGGUGGUGCCGGAGGGAAGCCGUUAAGCCCGCCGCCUGGGAAGUACGGCCGCAAGGCUGAAACUUAAAGGAAUUGGCGGGGGAGCACUACAACGGGUGGAGCCUGCGGUUUAAUUGGAUUCAACGCCGGGAAGCUUACCGGGGGAGACAGCGGGAUGAAGGUCGGGCUGAAGACCUUACCAGACUAGCUGAGAGGUGGUGCAUGGCCGCCGUCAGUUCGUACUGUGAAGCAUCCUGUUAAGUCAGGCAACGAGCGAGACCCGCGCCCUCAGUUGCCAGCGGAUCCCUUCGGGGAUGCCGGGCACACUGRGGGGACUGCCGGCGCUAAGCCGGAGGAAGGUGCGGGCAACGGCAGGUCCGUAUGCCCCGAAUCCCCCGGGCUACACGCGGGCUACAAUGGCCGGGACAAUGGGUACCGACCCCGAAAGGGGUGGGUAAUCUCCUAAACCCGGUCUAACCUGGGAUCGAGGGCUGCAACUCGCCCUCGUGAACCUGGAAUCCGUAGUAAUCGCGCCUCAAAAUGGCGCGGUGAAUACGUCCCUGCUCCUUGCACACACCGCCCGUCAAGCCACCCGAGUGGGCCAUGGGUGAGGGCCGCCCCUAGGGCGGUCGAACCCAGUCC